rnacentral:sRNA from 1 species
CCAAGUCCGUUUGCUUCGCUCUUUUCACGGCUUCGGACUGGCGGGUCUU